rnacentral:lncRNA from 1 species
GAACAACAUGGGUUUUUCAAACUGUUCUCUUGUCAAUAUGGCGUUCUUAUUAGCUCUUUUCAUCAUGACUUCAGGUUAAUGAUGUUCAAUUCACUCUCUUUUUAGUUUCUCAAUUCAAAUGACCAAUUUUCUUUUACAUUACAUAUUUUGAUUUCUUAUGAAAUCAUAUCGUUGACAUUGCUUUUGUGGACAAUUUGAAUUACUUUUUUAUUUGGAAAAUUGGUUGAGCAUUGUUCUUAAUUAGAUUUUGUGAUUCAGAUUUGUGCAUGAUGAAGACACAAGCAAGGGAACCCAUUAUUCCAUCUCAAAGUGAUAAUGAUAAAGGGUACUCACUACAUCAACCACCACACCAACCACAACCACCACACCAUUCCCCACCCCACCAAGUCCCACCACCACACCACCACCACCAUCGACACCACCCACGUCAUUCGCCACCACCACACCAAGCACCACCACCACACAUAGCACAACCACAAUUCCGUCGAGCACCACCUCCACCUU